rnacentral:rRNA from 1 species
GAUGAACGCUGGCGGCGUGCCUAAUACAUGCAAGUCGAGCGAACGGACGAGAAGCUUGCUUCUCUGAUGUUAGCGGCGGACGGGUGAGUAACACGUGGAUAACCUACCUAUAAGACUGGGAUAACUUCGGGAAACCGUAGCUAAUACCGGAUAAUAUUUUGAACCGCAUGGUUCAAAAGUGAAAGACGGUCUUGCUGUCACUUAUAGAUGGAUCCGCGCUGCAUUAGCUAGUUGGUAAGGUAACGGCUUACCAAGGCAACGAUGCAUAGCCGACCUGAGAGGGUGAUCGGCCACACUGGAACUGAGACACGGUCCAGACUCCUACGGGAGGCAGCAGUAGGGAAUCUUCCGCAAUGGGCGAAAGCCUGACGGAGCAACGCCGCGUGAGUGAUGAAGGUCUUCGGAUCGUAAAACUCUGUUAUUAGGGAAGAAAAUAUGUGUAAGUAACUGUGCACAUCUUGACGGUACUUAAUCAGAAAGCCACGGCUAACUACG